AGAGCUCCUGGGGAUCCCUCCCCAAGAGGAGACCAUCUUGGGAUCCCAGAUACACUGAGCAACUUGCGCCCUGUCCUUCCUGCCCUGGCUUCUGGCAGUCAGCCUCCAUGAGCCAGUCAGCAGGAUCCAUUCAAGGUGGUGCCCGUGUAUGUAAGAGAGACAGUGGAGGUGGAGGUGGAGAGCAUGGACAAGGCCGGCAACUUUAUCGGCUGGCUGCACAUCGAUAGCGCCAACCUGUCCGUCCUGCUGGUGGAGCACGCACUCUCCAAGGUCCACUUCACUGCCGAACGCAGCUCCUACUACAAGUCCCUGCUGUCUGCCGAGGAGGCCGCCAAGCAGAAGAAAGAGAAGGUCUGGGCCCACUAUGAGGAGCAGCCCGUGGAGGAGGUGAUGCCAGUGCUGGAGGAGAAGGAGCGAUCCGCCAGCUACAAGCCCGUGUUUGUGACCGAGAUCACUGAUGACCUGCACUUCUACGUGCAGGAUGUGGAGACCGGCACCCAGUUGGAGAAGCUGAUGGAGAACAUGCGCA
rnacentral:sRNA from 1 species